rnacentral:rRNA from 1 species
GGGUUGUGAGGUUAAGCGACUAAGCGUACACGGUGGAUGCCCUGGCAGUCAGAGGCGAUGAAGGACGUGCUAAUCUGCGAUAAGCGUCGGUAAGGUGAUAUGAACCGUUAUAACCGGCGAUUUCCGAAUGGGGAAACCCAGUGUGUUUCGACACACUAUCAUUAACUGAAUCCAUAGGUUAAUGAGGCGAACCGGGGGAACUGAAACAUCUAAGUACCCCGAGGAAAAGAAAUCAACCGAGAUUCCCCCAGUAGCGGCGAGCGAACGGGGAGCAGCCCAGAGCCUGAAUCAGUGUGUGUGUUAGUGGAAGCGUCUGGAAAGGCGCGCGAUACAGGGUGACAGCCCCGUACACAAAAAUGCACAUGCUGUGAGCUCGAUGAGUAGGGCGGGACACGUGGUAUCCUGUCUGAAUAUGGGGGGACCAUCCUCCAAGGCUAAAUACUCCUGACUGACCGAUAGUGAACCAGUACCGUGAGGGAAAGGCGAAAAGAACCCCGGCGAGGGGAGUGAAAAAGAACCUGAAACCGUGUACGUACAAGCAGUGGGAGCCUCUUUUAUGGGGUGACUGCGUACCUUUUGUAUAAUGGGUCAGCGACUUAUAUUCUGUAGCAAGGUUAACCGAAUAGGGGAGCCGAAGGGAAACCGAGUCUUAACUGGGCGUUAAGUUGCAGGGUAUAGACCCGAAACCCGGUGAUCUAGCCAUGGGCAGGUUGAAGGUUGGGUAACACUAACUGGAGGACCGAACCGACUAAUGUUGAAAAAUUAGCGGAUGACUUGUGGCUGGGGGUGAAAGGCCAAUCAAACCGGGAGAUAGCUGGUUCUCCCCGAAAGCUAUUUAGGUAGCGCCUCGUGAAUUCAUCUCCGGGGGUAGAGCACUGUUUCGGCAAGGGGGUCAUCCCGACUUACCAACCCGAUGCAAACUGCGAAUACCGGAGAAUGUUAUCACGGGAGACACACGGCGGGUGCUAACGUCCGUCGUGAAGAGGGAAACAACCCAGACCGCCAGCUAAGGUCCCAAAGUCAUGGUUAAGUGGGAAACGAUGUGGGAAGGCCCAGACAGCCAGGAUGUUGGCUUAGAAGCAGCCAUCAUUUAAAGAAAGCGUAAUAGCUCACUGGUCGAGUCGGCCUGCGCGGAAGAUGUAACGGGGCUAAACCAUGCACCGAAGCUGCGGCAGCGACACUGUGUGUUGUUGGGUAGGGGAGCGUUCUGUAAGCCUGCGAAGGUGUGCUGUGAGGCAUGCUGGAGGUAUCAGAAGUGCGAAUGCUGACAUAAGUAACGAUAAAGCGGGUGAAAAGCCCGCUCGCCGGAAGACCAAGGGUUCCUGUCCAACGUUAAUCGGGGCAGGGUGAGUCGACCCCUAAGGCGAGGCCGAAAGGCGUAGUCGAUGGGAAACAGGUUAAUAUUCCUGUACUUGGUGUUACUGCGAAGGGGGGACGGAGAAGGCUAUGUUGGCCGGGCGACGGUUGUCCCGGUUUAAGCGUGUAGGCUGGUUUUCCAGGCAAAUCCGGAAAAUCAAGGCUGAGGCGUGAUGACGAGGCACUACGGUGCUGAAGCAACAAAUGCCCUGCUUCCAGGAAAAGCCUCUAAGCAUCAGGUAACAUCAAAUCGUACCCCAAACCGACACAGGUGGUCAGGUAGAGAAUACCAAGGCGCUUGAGAGAACUCGGGUGAAGGAACUAGGCAAAAUGGUGCCGUAACUUCGGGAGAAGGCACGCUGAUACGUAGGUGAAGUCCCUCGCGGAUGGAGCUGAAAUCAGUCGAAGAUACCAGCUGGCUGCAACUGUUUAUUAAAAACACAGCACUGUGCAAACACGAAAGUGGACGUAUACGGUGUGACGCCUGCCCGGUGCCGGAAGGUUAAUUGAUGGGGUCAGCGCAAGCGAAGCUCUUGAUCGAAGCCCCGGUAAACGGCGGCCGUAACUAUAACGGUCCUAAGGUAGCGAAAUUCCUUGUCGGGUAAGUUCCGACCUGCACGAAUGGCGUAAUGAUGGCCAGGCUGUCUCCACCCGAGACUCAGUGAAAUUGAACUCGCUGUGAAGAUGCAGUGUACCCGCGGCAAGACGGAAAGACCCCGUGAACCUUUACUAUAGCUUGACACUGAACAUUGAGCCUUGAUGUGUAGGAUAGGUGGGAGGCUUUGAAGUGUGGACGCCAGUCUGCAUGGAGCCGACCUUGAAAUACCACCCUUUAAUGUUUGAUGUUCUAACGUGGACCCGUGAUCCGGGUUGCGGACAGUGUCUGGUGGGUAGUUUGACUGGGGCGGUCUCCUCCUAAAGAGUAACGGAGGAGCACGAAGGUUGGCUAAUCCUGGUCGGACAUCAGGAGGUUAGUGCAAUGGCAUAAGCCAGCUUGACUGCGAGCGUGACGGCGCGAGCAGGUGCGAAAGCAGGUCAUAGUGAUCCGGUGGUUCUGAAUGGAAGGGCCAUCGCUCAACGGAUAAAAGGUACUCCGGGGAUAACAGGCUGAUACCGCCCAAGAGUUCAUAUCGACGGCGGUGUUUGGCACCUCGAUGUCGGCUCAUCACAUCCUGGGGCUGAAGUAGGUCCCAAGGGUAUGGCUGUUCGCCAUUUAAAGUGGUACGCGAGCUGGGUUUAGAACGUCGUGAGACAGUUCGGUCCCUAUCUGCCGUGGGCGCUGGAGAACUGAGGGGGGCUGCUCCUAGUACGAGAGGACCGGAGUGGACGCAUCACUGGUGUUCGGGUUGUCAUGCCAAUGGCACUGCCCGGUAGCUAAAUGCGGAAGAGAUAAGUGCUGAAAGCAUCUAAGCACGAAACUUGCCCCGAGAUGAGUUCUCCCUGACUCCUUGAGAGUCCUGAAGGAACGUUGAAGACGACGACGUUGAUAGGCCGGGUGUGUAAGCGCAGCGAUGCGUUGAGCUAACCGGUACUAAUGAACCGUGAGGCUUAACCUUACAACGCCGAAGCUGUU